rnacentral:misc_RNA from 1 species
UCUCGGCUUAUCACCGGCGGUCCCCCUAGAGUGCCCAACUGAAUGAUGGCAACUAAGGGCGAGGGUUGCGCUCGUUGCGGGACUUAACCCAACACCUCACGGCGCGAGCUGACGACAGCCAUGCAGCACCUUGCUAUGUGUCCCGAAGGAAAGGUCCAUCUCUGAACCGGUCACGCGCAUUCUAGCCUAGGUAAGGUUCCUCGCGUAUCAUCGAAUUAAACCACAUGCUCCACCGCUUGUGCGGGCCCUCGCCAAUUCCUUUGAGUUUCAACCUUGCGGCCGUAGUUCCCAGGCGGUUCACUUAAUGCGUUAGCUGCGGCACCGAGGUGAAACCCCGACACCUAGUGAACAUCGUUUAUGGCCAAGACUAC